AAAGGAAUUGACGGGGAGGCGCACAAGCAGUGGAGCAUGUGGUUUAAUUCGAUACGAAGCGAAAAACCUCACCAGGGUUUGACAUGUACUUGCUAAGCCUAAGAAACUAGGCCUCCUUCGAGGGUAGUACACAGAUGCUGCAUGGCUGUCGUCAGCUCGUGGCGUGAGCUGUACCGUUAAGUCGGGUAACGAGCGCAACCCGCAUCAUAUGUUAAAUGUUCAUAUGAAACAGCCCCACUUUGUGGGGAGGAAGGCGCGGAUGACGUCAAGUCAGCACGGCUCUUACACCCUGGGCUACACACAUCCUACAAUGGCGAAAAACAACGAGCUGCAAGCCAGUAAUGGCAAGCUAAUCUCUGAAAUUUCGCCCCAGUUCAGAUUGAGGGCUGCAAUUCGCCCUCAUGAAGUCGGAAUUGCUAGUAAUCGCGAAUCAGCAGGUCGCGGUGAAUACGUUCUCGCCUCUUGUACACACCGCCCGU
rnacentral:rRNA from 1 species